AUUGAACGCUGGCGGCAGGCCUAACACAUGCAAGUCGAAUGGUAACAGGAAACAGCUUGCUGUUUCGCUGACGAGUGGCGGACGGGUGAGUAAUGUCUGGGAAACUGCCUGAUGGAGGGGGAUAACUACUGGAAACGGUAGCUAAUACCGCAUAACGUCGCAAGACCAAAGAGGGGGACCUUCGGGCCUCUUGCCAUCAGAUGUGCCCAGAUGGGAUUAGCUAGUAGGUGGGGUAACGGCUCACCUAGGUGACGAUCCCUAGCUGGUCUGAGAGGAUGACCAGCCACACUGGAACUGAGACACGGUCCAGACUCCUACGGGAGGCAGCAGUGGGGAAUAUUGCACAAUGGGCGCAAGCCUGAUGCAGCCAUGCCGCGUGUAUGAAGAAGGCCUUCGGGUUGUAAAGUACUUUCAGCGGGGAGGAAGGGAGUAAAGUUAAUACCUUUGCUCAUUGACGUUACCCGCAGAAGAAGCACCGGCUAACUCCGUG
rnacentral:rRNA from 1 species